CUCUAACGUACACUGUUAGAUGUCGCUGUAGAUUUAGCAGUACAUUACUGUAAAAAUCCACAGUACUAUACUGUAUGUGUACAUUACAGUACAGUACUGCAGUUCAUAAUGCAUUCUGGGUAAAUUUGUUUGAGCGGGAAAAUUUUACAGUAUCUUUUGGUCUUGAUGUAACCUUGCUGUAGCCAUUGCUGUAAUGUGCCAGGUGUACUUGCAAUAAUCAGAGAAAGUGCGCCAGAGUCAAAUCACACAGAGGGAGAGAGAGCACAACUCCUGGCUGCAGCUGAAGGAGGACGAUUGAUUUCUGGCAGUUCGUCUUACCAUUGCUUGUAAGUCGGAUUGGGUAAGAUGGAUCAUCUUUAAAGGCACCAGGAGUUAAGGCAGAUGUGGAGGCACAACGGGUGAUACCAGACACACACCAAGCACAUUAUGUUCGGACAUUCAAUCAUGACAGGAUCCAGGUGGAUGCUGUCCAUUGAGAAAAGAGUUUGUUCCGAGGUUUCUGGAUAGAAUUAAUUCCAAAGAUGGGAAAAAGUGCACAUCCAGACAAGGAGCAAGCAAAAAGACAAGGAACUUGGUGCAGAGAAAAGCUGUGGCCAUUAACCCCCAUGUGAACAGCUUCAUGCAGUCGCUGAUUGAGUUCGAAUGGACGACUUCAAAGUAAAGGCCACUGUGGUCUGUCUGCCACAGUUUAAUUUUUAAUUUAUUUUUAGUGUUCAAUGAAAUUCAAGUAGAAUAUUUAAAACUAUGGGCCAGUGUUCUUUUUACCACAGUGAAAUGUUACCUUUUAGUCGAUGAUGGACUUUAAACUGAAAACUUCAAACUAUGGACCAGUGUUCUAUUUGCCAGAGUUAAAUAUGUUACAGCAGGGGUCUCCAAACUUGUUUAUACUUGUUGAUUUUAUUUUAUUUA